rnacentral:rRNA from 1 species
GACAGAGGGUGCAAACGUUGUUCGGAAUUACUGGGCGUAAAGCGUGUGUAGGCGGCUUUGUAAGUCGGAUGUGAAAGCCCCGGGCUCAACCUGGGAAGUGCAUUCGAUACUGCAAAGCUUGAGUAUCGGAGAGGUCGGUAGAAUUCUCGGUGGAGAGGUGAAAUUCGUAGAUAUCGAGGGGAAUACCAGUGGCGAAGGCGGCCGACUGGACGAAUACUGACGCUGAGACACGAAAGCGUGGGGAGCAAACAGG